AUUGAUUGUUUUGCCUUAAUCUUAUAGGUUCAUGGUGACAACCAGAGUUGAAAGAUGCAAUUUUACUUAUUAGUUAUGAAUGAAGUUUUACAUUAUUAAAUUCAAGUAGGUGGAUUUUAUAAGACAUUGGAAACUGUGGACUGAUGACAUCAUAAAGAUAACAGGAAUACUUAUAGUGAAUCCAACGCCUGAAGGAGUGAAGAUCGCCGACACGCGCCUACAACCCUUGAUCGAUGUCUACAUGCACUUAGCCACUUGGUAAGCCUGCUCUUAAUGCUCCUGUGGCAAUGGGCUGGGUGUUAGAAUACUAUACAAUUAAGUGGCUAAAGAUUUUCAAAUGUCGGUGAAGGAAUACUGUACCUACAGGAGGAAUAUAUUUGUUUUUAUAGCAGGCCAACGCCAUUCGAUUGAUUCAUGAAAAACAGACUGUUCAAGGAUUUUUCGGACACACAAAAGUUUAUGUAUAAUUUUAAUCCAUCCAGAAUCGUUUCCCAAUACAUUAUCAGCAUCAAAAUCGUCAAUAAAUUAUGAAAUACAGCAGCAAUGUAAGCAAACGCCCGCCGAUUGGUAUCGGAAGUAGGGCGGGAUGGCACCGGCGAAG